rnacentral:misc_RNA from 1 species
AAGAGCUCCUGUAAAAGUCUCUAACGAUGGUUGCACCAAUGACUUUUUAAUGGUUGGUCUUUCCACAAAGGACAUGUCAGUGACCAAAGCCGAUUCAAUAGAUGUUUUAUGUGAUUAUAUCAUGGCAAUAGAAGACGAUACGACACUAGAGAGAACAUGGGUGCGAAGUUUCAAUCCUUUUAAGAUAGAAAUAUCUGUCAAAGACCUGCAAAACAUAUUAACGACAACUCAAGAUAUGAUUCUAAGAUGUUUUGAUAUGGCUGUUCGGCUGCUUGCCAAUAAAGAGUCACGUAGACCGAAAGAAGAAAUCAUAAAUAAUAGAAAGCAUUAUAUGGACAUGCGUUUUUGGAGAAUGGUUGGUUUUGGUAAACUUCCAAAGUACCAUCAGGAUCCUACAACAGAAGAGUUAGCCAAAACACUCGAUUGUUGGCCAUCAAUGAAUUAUUAUAUCACGGGUUGUAGAUAUGUUCUCAUGCCAUGGAAAUUCAAUGGAUGUCACGCCCUUUUCGUAAUAGAUCAUGUUAAAAAGCAUGUGACUUUUAUCGAUUUUACAC